CGUAGGUGGCAAGCGUUGUCCGGAUUUACUGGGCGUAAAGGGUGCGUAGGUGGAUAUUUAAGUCAGAUGUGAAACCCCCCAGGCUCAACCUGGGAACUGCAUUUGAAACUGGAUGUCUGGAGUGCAGGAGAGGUAAGUGGAAUUCCUAGUGUAGCGGUGAAAUGCGUAGAGAUUAGGAAGAACACCAGUGGCGAAGGCGACUUACUGGACUGUAACUGACACUGAGGCACGAAAGCGUGGGUAGCAAACAGGAUUAGAUACCCUGGUAGUCCACGCCGUAAACGAUGAGUACUAGGUGUAGGAGGUAUCGACUCCUUCUGUGCCGCAGUUAACACAAUAAGUACUCCGCCUGGGAAGUACGAUCGCAAGAUUA
rnacentral:rRNA from 1 species